UGGAAGUGAAUGGAACGGAAUGCUUGGAGUGGCUGAUAUAUGACUUUCUCCGUUCAUGUACAGAUGAACCUCUCCAUGCUAUGCCGAUAGUUUAACCCAUCGAUUAUUGGUUACUAUUGUGGUCUCAGGCGUGACCCCCGGCAGAGAAGCUCUUGGAGUUGUCCAAUGGAAAGUGGGGCGUAUCCGUCGACCCUGUUUUUCAGGAGCUACUGUUCUGAAGGUUCCUAUACUGUCAAAACUUUCAGGUUUAUCAUUUGCCCAAAGAUUUGCAGUUCCUGGUUGAAGAAUUACGCCAUCUAGCAGCUUGUUUUCAGUUCGUGAUGUCAAGAAAUAAAGUUCGUGAAGUCAAAUCACAUGGCAUCAAGGUCCUCGUGUAACCUUCAUUGAUCAAACUUUCUUCCCGUGUUAUGUACAGUCUUCGAACUCCCAAAUGACGCGGUCUUGCAUGAUGUUCAAAGUCUCAUUCAGUCAGUACCGGCUUCUGUUCUAUGGCAUUAUACAUCAAUCUGUAUAUGUAGUUUUGCUCAUCUAUGAAAAGAUUUUGUGCACCUUGAUGGGACUGGGGCAAGCUGAGAACCCUUCUUCACUUAUUUCUAUCCUAGAAGGCCCAGUUUAUUACUACGGACCCUAAGGAAUAUAGUUGGGGAUCUGGGCAAAAAGGGGAGGUGGCGGUGUGCAUCUAUUUAUAUGUUGAUGAUUGCGAGUAUCACUCGUCCAGUUUGGAAGUGUAACGCCCAAACCAUAAUUGUUGUGAGUGGAAAACUGAGCUAGGCCUAAUAGCAUGGUAGGUCACACAAAUUCUCACUUAAGAGCAAUUCUGGGUGGUGUUACUCUUCCAUAGAGGAUCGUGUACCGAUAAAUAAACUAGACCUUCUUGACUCUAUACACAGAGUCUUGCAAGAUCAGGCCUACCUCUCAAGGAUCUUCUGCUAUUAGUACAAUUUUAUGUUUUAGAAUGCAGAUUCUGAGGCAAUCCUAAGUGUUGAGUACCGUUAAAAAUCCAAUCGUGGAAAAACAAAAUCGGAAACCAUGUACUACUUUUAAGACGAUUGAGAGUCAAGCCAACAGUUUUGAUCUAAUAUGCCAUGUCAAAGCUUAUUGGUGAAUGUGCAGUUAUCAAAGAUGUUUGGUUCAAUCUGGGCUCGUGAUUUAAUCAAGUGAAUAUCCAAUACAUCUGCAGGGCUGAUAGACAUGCUUAACAAUGUAUAUCAUUUAAAUGAUUCAUGAUUUGUUUACCUUCUUUUAUUAGGUUUAAAGCCGAAACGAGACAGGAAGCCAUGUCACUAAUAAGUCCAUCAACCCGUGUCCUCAAUGAGAUAUCAAAGUUUAGAUUGAUUACAAAUGAAUUUUACUUCCUCCUUUGUCUUGCAAAGAUGCCACUGUCUAUGCAUAUCGGAAGUGCAUCAACGGUAGGCUGUAACAGGGGAAGUGAAGUAAUGGUUGCUGCCGGCCUUCCUAGCACCAGUACGAUCCUUGGCCAAGGAAGACCUAAUACGGUAUCUUGCCUCGGGAUGCAAGCCAAAAGAAAAAUGGAGGUGUACAACACCUCACAGAUGACCAUUGCAUCAUGUUCAUUUGGCAGAAUAGGAACAGAGCAUGAGAAUUGAGAAGUCCAGUUUUGAGAUCGAUACUUUAUGUCCUAUCAAAUACGAUCAGAUAGCUGAGUUGCACAAUGGUACAGCCAAGAGCUAAGAUUGGGAAAAGGUAAAGGAGAUUGCAGAUCAGCCAAAAUGGGGUGUGAAGAUAUAGCACUAAUAGGUAGGAAUGGAACUUACUCUAUUGUUCAUAAUGAUACAAUAUAGAAUUGAGUAUAUGGGUUAAUAAAUUACAUACAGGAAAUCCGUCAAGUCCAUGCUCGACAAGAGGAAAAAGUAGCUUGAGAUGAAUUAUGCACAAGCCACAUACGAAAACAGGUUUCAUCUUUUUGGAUGACAUAUUUAAUUCCUACUCCGGUGUUAGCAUUUGCUUCUCAUAGUACGUAGUAGAUCGGAGCAUAUGACAAAGCAUUCGGCACACAGGGGAGAUACGAGAGCAUAUGGACUUACAUGCCUAAAGUUGGUUCGGUUCUUGCGGACUGGAUAUGAUAUUCUGGACGUCCCAAUGUUCUUUGUGUAUCGGAAGAAGUGUAUAGACUGUGCUCGGAUGUCAUUCCGGAUUUUCACCUAUCCUUUAUCAUUUAUAAAUUCAAUCGUUCUUCUUAUAUUGUCCCUCACUAGUUUAUGCUGUCAUGUGUUACUCUAUCAUCAAUCAUCUGUCUUCUGAUUAUAAUUGUUCUGUGUUUCGGGAUUUCAUGACCGGGAAACCUCCCAUCAUUCCAGGUGAAUUGCCGACCCUCAGCAAUUGGGGGAAUGAUUUGAGAACAAUAUUUCCUCAGGUAAUACUAAAGACGUACUUGGAGAUGAGAGGUGCUGAUGCAGUGCCUUGGAAGAGGUUAUAUGCUCUGCCAGCGUUUUGGGUAAGAACUCUGUCUUUGUCUAUGUCGGCAAACAUCUCGGUGCCAUCUAGUUGUAAGCAGAUAUGGUCGACAAUGAUGAAGCUUUAAGGUGGCAAGCCAAACUCAUUUUCUCACCUCUGGUAGGCCUCCUGUACGAUGAAAUCGAACUCCUUGGAUCAGGUUCAUAUAAUUCAAAAUGAAUGCAAUAGUCACCAAAGACUAGUUUGAAGACACCAUUUCAGGAUUCUUCACUUAGUGAUGGUCAUGAAAUAAAGUUUACGAUGUCAAAAUCCCCAGCAUGGAGAUCUCCGUGUCACCUCCAUCGAUCAAACUUCCUUCUGAUGUUAUAUUACAAUUUGCUGAAACUCGCUACUGAUUCCAUCUCUUGUAUGAGAAAGUGCAGCGAUCGUCUUAGCUCUAAGUUAUAUACAAUCUAUCUUAUGUCCAAAGUCACAUUCGGAUUUUACCGGCUUUUAUUCUAUGGUAUUCAGAAUC